CACGCGCACAAGGCAUUUUUAUGCUAACGGCAAGCCGGAUGUCAUCGCCAUCUUGUAAUGGCGAUGUGCUUAUGAAGUGGCUUCCCACAGUAACUGGCAUCAUUGUGUUGGUAAGACACUGAGAGCUGUCUCAGAAGUGUUCUAGUAAUGAGGAACCUGGCAUCCAUCAAUUUCCUGUUUCAUUACUUGAGAAUUUAUUCUAAGGGCACAUUCCAAUGGGCAGAGAAUACUCGUGAACAGAGUGCAACGAGAAGCCAUGGGCAAGCAGAGGAUCCUGGAAAGAGAAGAAGACAUAAGGAGAAUCUCCUUGGGUAAAGUACCUGCCAACUUCUUCAAGUUCUGGAUUUAUGUUAAAAAGAAAGCCAGAAGCCAAAAAGAACGAAUAUUGAUUGGGUCAGUGCAUGCCAAGCCUCUACUUUUAACAAUAAUGAAGAACAAAUACAGUUUCAAAAGAGGAGCAUCUAUGGAAGCAACCAUGAUCCUUUUGUUAAAAUUGAUUACUCGGA